UUGCAGACUUUCAAUAUUUUUUUUGUUGUCGUGCAAUCACUUGACUUAACAGGUUGUUACCUUAACAGUAUGUUAAGUGUUAUCGUUACAGGCUAUUAACCUGUCUUAUUAGUAAAGAUGUGGUUUGAUUCUUUUUUUCAAUGACUAAUUACAAUUAUUCUUAAUAUUUAUAUUUUAAAAGCCUGAAUACUAUAUAUGUCCCUAAAAUGCGAAAAUUUGCUGAAGUAAACUGCAACUGGCAUGAAAAAGGAUACAACAUUUUGUGUUUUGUAAUUUACACGACAUGCGCACAACUACUGGGAAUUGGAGUUUAAUUUUUAUAAAAACACACGGAGGU